UGGCGGCAGGCCUAACACAUGCAAGUCGAACGGUAACAGAAAGCAGCUUGCUGCUUUGCUGACGAGUGGCGGACGGGUGAGUAAUGUCUGGGAAACUGCCCGAUGGAGGGGGAUAACUACUGGAAACGGUAGCUAAUACCGCAUAACGUCGCAAGACCAAAGAGGGGGACCUUCGGGCCUCUUGCCAUCGGAUGUGCCCAGAUGGGAUUAGCUAGUAGGUGGGGUAACGGCUCACCUAGGCGACGAUCCCUAGCUGGUCUGAGAGGAUGACCAGCCACACUGGAACUGAGACACGGUCCAGACUCCUACGGGAGGCAGCAGUGGGGAAUAUUGCACAAUGGGCGCAAGCCUGAUGCAGCCAUGCCGCGUGUAUGAAGAAGGCCUUCGGGUUGUAAAGUACUUUCAGCGGGGAGGAAGGGAGUAAAGUUAAUACCUUUGCUCAUUGACGUUACCCGCAGAAGAAGCACCGGCUAACUCCGUGCCAGCAGCCGCGGUAAUACGGAGGGUGCAAGCGUUAAUCGGAAUUACUGGGCGUAAAGCGCACGCAGGCGGUUUGUUAAGUCAGAUGUGAAAUCCCCGGGCUCAACCUGGGAACUGCAUCUGAUACUGGCAAGCUUGAGUCUCGUAGAGGGGGGUAGAAUUCCAGGUGUAGCGGCGAAAUGCGUAGAGAUCUGGAGGAAUACCCGGUGGCGAACGCGGCCCCCCUGGACGAAGACUGACGCUCAGGUGCGAAAGCGUGGGGAGCAACAGGGAUUAGAUACCCUGGUAGUCCACGCCGUAAACGGAUGUCGACUUGGAGGUUGUGCCCUUGAGGCGUGGCUUCCGGAGCUAACGCGUUAAGUCGACCGCCUGGGGAGUACGGCCGCAAGGUUAAAACUCAAAUGAAUUGACGGGGGCCCGCACAAGCGGUGGAGCAUGUGGUUUAAUUCGAUGCAACGCGAAGAACCUUACCUGGUCUUGACAUCCACGGAAGUUUUCAGAGAUGAGAAUGUGCCUUCGGGAACCGUGAGACAGGUGCUGCAUGGCUGUCGUCAGCUCGUGUUGUGAAAUGUUGGGUUAAGUCCCGCAACGAGCGCAACCCUUAUCCUUUGUUGCCAGCGGUCCGGCCGGGAACUCAAAGGAGACUGCCAGUGAUAAACUGGAGGAAGGUGGGGAUGACGUCAAGUCAUCAUGGCCCUUACGACCAGGGCUACACACGUGCUACAAUGGCGCAUACAAAGAGAAGCGACCUCGCGAGAGCAAGCGGACCUCAUAAAGUGCGUCGUAGUCCGGAUUGGAGUCUGCAACUCGACUCCAUGAAGUCGGAAUCGCUAGUAAUCGUGGAUCAGAAUGCCACGGUGAAUACGUUCCCGGGCCUUGUACACACCGCCCGUCACACCAUGGGAGUGGGUUGCAAAAGAAGUAGGUAGCUUAACCUUCGGGAGGGCGCUUACCACUUUGUGAUUCAUGACUG
rnacentral:rRNA from 1 species